GUGGUUUAUCUGGUUGAUUGUUUCAUUUAAGGGUUAAAAUAAUCUAAAGUUAUUAUCAGAAAUGGGAUGUGUCCAGAUAUUAAGCCAGUGUGCCCCAAAAUUAGUGAAAAGUGAAGUUUUUGAACGUUAAGACAUUAUUGCGCAACAUGGCGAAAUGUGAUAAAUGUGCCAAUUUCUGACGAUAUCGAUUUUGAACUAUCAGAAGAAUAAUUUCUCCUGUGUAUUAGUGAUCGUUAAAUGUCAAAUAAACAAUAAAACAAUUUGUGAGUGCCUUCAAUAUGAAAACAUUGCAAUGAAGAGAAGACAUUUUUCCGUCGGAGUGUGUAGGAGAUUCAAAUGAAAAUGUUGUCAACAAAUGCCUAGUCAAAUUCUGAAUAUUCUAAAGGUACAGUACAGUCACAGUACAGUGAAAAGAAAUUUUAAUAACUUAUUAUCCAACCGACGACAAAUUGCUGACAUAGCGAAACAAACAAAGAUGGCGAUGAUGUCAUCGUCGUAUUUGCAGCCAACGCCUCACCUAUCCGUAACAGUAGCAGAUGUAUCUAGUGCGCAAGCUUCAUUUUCUUUACGCAACCUGUAGACGAGCAAUCUACGAAACUACGACCAAGACAACAGCAUAUACGCAAUUCACGAAUGGCUGAAAAUCUACGAAGCGUGACGAAGUUCUACGAAAUACAACGUAGUCAAAGACCGAGUCCAAAGUCAACGAUAAGAUGACGAUUAUUAAACAAGCAAGACUUUAAAAACCUAGAGUAAUCAAUAUUGUCACCGAACGCCGGACGUUUUAUGAUGACCUCAUCACCGCUUUUUCCAAGACAGAUACGAGCAACUGUUAUUGCUGAACAAAGAAAACCAACUUGGGCCACGGUCACCGGUGAUUCCCGGUACUGGCCGCUGCAGAAGAUAAACAUAAUCCAUUCGACAGCUGGUCACAUACCAAAUGUGUUACGUCAUGGAGUAGGUUCCAGAUUAUUGGUCUCUCAGCAUUUUCUGGCUGACGGCGCACCGCCAACCGAUGUCGUCGAUCCGGACAAGGCCAUACAGAAGCUGAAGGACGAUUGGAAAAUAGCCCGAGAAAGCGAGCUCAGCACUUUUAUGUCUAGCACAGUCAAACUGAUUUGUUUACCUCUGAAUAAAAAAGUUGAGUAUUAAAAAGUUUUAAUAAUAAGCAUAUUAUUAAUCAAGCUAUUUUUAUUUUUUAUUUGUUUAUGGUUGGAGACCUGGACAUGACCAUGGAAGAUUCUCAGCUGACAGGCAUGGAAUGCAGUUGCAGUUCAUUCCUCAACGCCAGAUAUGCGCUGCGUCAGCAAGAUCGGCGGCGGCGGACAAAUGUGACCGCACAUAAACAACUCCAACCAUGGCCUUCCACAAUAUAAAAAAAAAUUAAGUAUCAGACCAUUUGACUUACAGUCUUACAAACGAUUUAAUUUAGUUCUUACUGGUGAUGUAAGAAUUGGUAAUUUAUUACACUACUACCCGAAUAAGUUACCCGACAAAACUUAUUUGAAUUAACUUACAGUCUUUUGAAGAUUGAAUUUAAUUAUUUGUUCUCAUUUAAUAAGCUGUCAUUUAAAAACUUAAAUCAAUACGAGAAGAAUAAUAAUGCCAUACUUAAUUAGUUUUAUAUUUCAACGAAAAUAGUGGCAGUCAGUUUCUUUCCUAGUUGUUAAUACGCCAAUAUAUUGCCAGAGUUUAUUUCGAGAAUUUAUACAGAUUGUCCAAUAAUACAAUACCAUAAGUUAUGAAGUAUAUUGAAAUCACUAAAAUAAUUUAAAGAUACAAUUGCAAUGGUUUAUUUCGGACAGUUAGAACCGAAUACUAAAAAUAUUCUCACACUAGAACUCCCUUUCUCUUUGUAUUAAAAAAAAGGAAGUAAUAUGUCAAUCAACGACAGAAAACUUUAUUCAAAACAAAAAUCAUUGACAACUUUACGCUUAUUGACAAAAUUAUACAAUUGUUACAGAAAUUACAUAAUUUGAAUCAAAAAUAGCAAGAACUGCAUUGAACUUACAAAUACACUAAGGAAUAUCACCCCUUUUGUCAGAGUUCAAUUCUGGUUUCCUUCGACCUAACUAAGACUUGUUUUCUAAUAUGCCAAAUAAAGGUUAUUAUCAAUAAUUCAAUCAAUUUAAAUAUGAUAUUUAACAUUAAGCAAAAAUGUAAGAUUAACAUUAUCGUUUGACAUAAGUUUUGGAUCUUUUUGACGCUACGCAUGAACUAGAAUUGUUUUGUGUUAAAGACAUUUUAAUUGAUAAACAAAAAAAAAUUAUUUAGCUUUGGGUUCUCCCCUAAGUCCGUUACUCGCAGAAAGCUUUCUGUCUGAAUUUACAGAAACACUUUUCAAAAUUAGAACAUUUUGAUAUUUUAUUGUCUUGUAUAAAAAUGUAGAUCCUCAUAAUUUUAAACAUUCAAUACAACAUAAAUUAGCAGCGUAUAAAUCAAAGGUUCAUUGAACAUUUGCUCUCGCACUAAGUCAAGCUAUUAGAACUAAAGAAGAAGAAACAAUACAAUAGAUUUAAUAUAAACAAUAAAUAACAUAAUAAGAAAUUAAAUAAUAUAAUAGUAAACCGUCUCAAACCAUAUCAAAUUUACUUUUAAAAAGUAAAACAAAAACAAAACCCGAAACACUAUCAGGCAAUUUAUAAGUUAAACUGUUCAGAUUGCAAUAUCAGCUAUAUAGGCCAGACCUGUAGAAAUGUUGAAAGUAGAUUCAAAGUUCAAAGAAAAAUAGAACAUCUUUUAUAUAAAAAAAUGUCUAAGAUUUCGUCUAUAAGAUGUAUACAAAAUGAUGAUGUUGAGCACACAAAUAUUAUUUUAGAGCACAAAGUGUUAUUUCUUAUUUUGUGGUAAAUCUUUCUUUAUUUUAAGCUAAAGUUUUUCGACAAAAUGCAACUACACAGUCUUGUGUUAAUAUUCGGUGACGCAGAGCUCGGAGAUUAUCAGUUCGAGAUGCAUUUUAUAAGACAAAGCAUUUUUUGUUGUUGUUUAUUUUAGAGACGCGCAAGCUGCACGAGUUAUUAUGUUUUCUUUUAAAGAAUCAUUGAUUUAAAACAAUUAAAAAAAAAUAUUAUAAAACUUGUACCUAAGCCUGUAGCAAAAAAAAUGUGUUUUUAUUUGUGGCUAGAUAAUCGACAGGCAUUCCCUGAGAAAGCGAUGUAAAAUUGCAAUAUUCAUAAUGUAAUAAUAGUAUCCUGUAAACUUUGAUAAUAGUUGGUUCCACAUAUAACAUGGCUAGCAUGUUGUAGAAUGUAAAGAAUGGAUAAAAUGUUUAAUGAUAUAGAACUAGUUUUCCAAAGUAUAAGAGGCAUUAACUGUUAGGAAUAGGCUUGACUGACAAUUUCAUGAUAAAUUAAACUAAAAUCAGAAAAAAGAGAAUGCUUUUUACUCUUAAAAAAAAAUAGUGGCACUCCCGCUAUAAAUUAAAAUAAAUAAUUGAUUGUACUGCUAAUAUUCAAAAUUUAUUUGAGUAGAUACACUAUUCAAGGAGAAUAAUAAUACUAUAAUAAAGUCUUAUAUUAUAGUGAAAAUAGUAGUAGUCUUACGAUAAGAUAAAUUAAAAAAAAAAUAAGAAAAAAAAAGUCUUACCGCAUGAACGAUACCAGCUCCACAAGAAAGGACAACGAAUCACAGUAGCUGCUCACGAUCAGUUGAGGCCAUGGUCAUGAGAAUAAUUUAAAAAAAAGAUUGGUGCGAGGACGCCCCACCUGCAGAAUGGCCGUGUUAACAUAUGAUAAAAAUGACAUCAUGACACCAGGGUGGCCGAGCGAGAUCAGCAUGCGCAACGACACUCUAGAUGGCUCUGGCUUACCACCGACGGGAGAGGCCUGGGCAAGGCCGAGCGAACGCGCCUGCUCUGCGACAGUACGAGCGCACCAGAGUACCAGUCAAUAUUAAAAUAGAACAAGCUGUACUGACGUAAUAUUAAAAGUGGUUUAUCUGG